rnacentral:rRNA from 1 species
GUCCCAGUUCAGAUCGCAGUCUGCAACCCGACUGCGUGAAGUCGGAAUCGCUAGUAAUCGCGGAUCAGCAUGCCGCGGUGAAUACGUUCCCGGGCCUUGUACACACCGCCCGUCACACCAUGAGAGUUGGGAACACCCGAAGUCCGUAGCCUAACCGCAAGGGGGGCGCGGCCGAAGGUGGGUUCGAUAAUUGGGGUGAAGUCGUAACAAGGUAGC